CGCAGUUUGUUGUGAUGUGCUCC
rnacentral:miRNA from 1 species